AUACAGGGGUUGCGAGCGUUAAUCGGAAUUACUGGGCGUAAAGAGUACGUAGGCGGUUGCUUAAGUCAGAUGUGAAAGCCCCGGGCUCAACCUGGGAACUGCAUUUGAAACUGAGUGACUAGAGUUUAAGAGAGGGGAGUAGAAUUCCGGGUGUAGCGGUGAAAUGCGUAGAGAUCCGGAGGAAUACCAGUGGCGAAGGCGGCUCCCUGGCUUAAAACUGACGCUGAGGUACGAAAGCGUGGGUAGCAAACAGGAUUAGAAACCCGGGUAGUCC
rnacentral:rRNA from 1 species